rnacentral:lncRNA from 1 species
CGUGUUUUCGUCAAUGGAGGAAACUUGUUUACAACCUUCGCAUACUUUUCCAGAAUUUUUUAUUCGUUUAGACACUCCAAAUAAAGGAUGGCUACUCAAACUCAGAAAGAAAAUAUAUCCCUGAGUAUUCCUGUCGUGAGGAAGAAGACAGUGUGAAGAAACUCCUGCAAAAUUAACACUGGAGGAGAUGAGGAUGUCACAACAAUGACCUUUCUUUCAUCUCUGCUGAGAUAUACUACCUGUAAAAUAUAAUUCCCUGAGAAUUCCAGGCUAUCCAGAAGAAUCGGCACCCUGACUGAAUCUCACAAAUACUUUAUAGUAUGCUGGAGGAAUUGACAUGGAUCAAUACUUUCCAACUUUACACUCUUGAAUAAAGCAUCUAACAUGGCGACGCCAGUUGCCAAACAACUUUAGCCACUGUGGUUGGCAGGGCCAAUGCGCUAACUGUUGUCAGCACUGUGAGAGUGUCUUCGAGUGUGUUCUUUGCGUUCGUGAGAUGGAAGUAGUACCUGCAAAAAUGCCAUCAGAAGUUCAGAGUGGCAGAUUUCCUCUGGGCAUUAAUGACUUACCAGAUGAAAUUCUGAUAAUCAUCUUCUCCCACUUGUCAUUGACUGAACUCCUAGAUGUUCAGAAAGUAUGCCAUCAUUGGAAAACACUGUCUCGAGCUCCGGAGUUGUGGAACCACAAGGAAUAUCU